CCAAUGCAUGAGACUCGGGAAAGAUGUUGGGCCAAACUUUCUAAUAAUCAAUAAUUUUCCACAUGACUGUUAAACUUACCUUGAAUGAAACACAAUAUCAAUCUUUGUCAAUAUAAAUCAGUAUAGAUAUAUAUAUCUGUCUAUGCAUUAUUGUUAGAGUUUGACGGGUUCAUAACACGAGCCUGGAAUAAUAUGUCUCUAAAAGAUUGCAACUCUUGAUAUUGCCUCAAAACCAUAAUUAAGGUUAAGCAUGUGGGCUAUCACCAAACUUAUUAACAACCUAAGUUGACGUGAUUAUGUCCCAGAUAAAUAAAUAAUACAAGUUCUAAAAUCUUCACCUUGCACUGACACUAAUAAAUAUUUAUAUUUUAAAUCUUUAAAAACGCAUUGUAGAAAGAUGUUUAAAACAAUUGAUACAGUUGAAUCCUCAAUUCAAUUAGUUGUACCCCUAGAGUCUACUUCUCCCUCGUACAAGUGAAAGAGAAGAUGUAAAAACUGUCAAAAUUGUCCAAGUGAGAUUUUCGGUAAAUGUGAGCCACACACAUAUUAAAUGCAAUAGGACUAAUUUAUGUGAGAGAAGAAGUAUUACUCCGGUCAAUAACCCUGAACCUUCAUGCAAGUUUCACAACUUGACUUUGUUAAAUUGCAACAUAAAUGUCCAUCCUUUUCUUGACGGGCCCUUGCUUUGGAAUAGCUUCAUCAAUUAUUUCAUGCGAGAUGGACCACUUGUUCAAUCAAUUUAUACCAAUUUUGUAAAAAAAUUUAACAAACGAAAAUUAUUCAAUGCGCUUGACAGGAGCGGAGCUAAAAUUCCUUCGAAAUGAGGGCCAAAUAUCUAGAAGCAUAUACGUAUGUUUUUCAUUUGAUAAUUAAAAUAUAUAAAUAAAUUGAAAUGAUUAAUAAUUUUCGAGACUCAAUUCGAUAUUCUGGAAAAGAUGUUGGGCCAAACUUUCUAAUAAUCAAUAAUUUUCCACAUGACUGUUAAACUUACCUUGAAUGAAACACAAUAUCAAUCUUUGUCAAUAUAAAUCAGUACAGAUAUAUAUCUCUGUCUACGCAUUAUUGUUAGAGUUUGACGGGUGGUACAGAUAUAUUUCUCUGUCUAUGCAUUUUGUUAGAGCUUGACGGGUUCAUAACACGAGCAUGGAAUAAUCUGCCACUAAAAGCUUGCAACUUUUGAUAUUACCUCAAAACCUUAAUUAAAGAUAAGGAUGUGGGCUAUCACCAAACUUACUAACUAUUUAAGGAUUAUGUCCCAGAUAAACAAAUAAUACAAGUUCUAAAAUUUUCAACUGACACUAAUAAAUAUUUUUAUUUUAAAUCUUUAAAAAGGCAUUGUAGAACAAUCUAUAAAACAAGUGAUACAAGUGAUUUCUCAACUCAAUUAGUUGUACCCUUAGAGUCCACUUCUCUUGAGCGAAAGAGAAAAUAAAAAGACUAUCAAACCCGAAAAAAUCUAAUAUUUGUCUAUGGUUUAUCCAAUGAUCUAAAAUUAUAAUAUUAAAUCAAAAAUAUUUUAGCUAUGAGUAAUAUUGAAUGAUCCACAUGAAAAGAAGCAAACCAAUCAACCAAAAAGAGCACAAGAUUUUUACCAUAGAAACCCUUGAAUGGGAGAAAAAUCACGUGUCCACUCUCUGAAUAAAGAUCAUGCACUAUAAUCCGAAAUUUAGACGGUUACAAGACUCUUACAAUCAAAACAUAUCAACUUCAUGAUCUAAUGAUUGUGUAAAUCUAGCUCGUAUCCACGAUUCACCGUCUCCGUGCUUGAUCACCAUUUAGAUCCCCUUAAAACGAAUUUCACACCUUAAACUCCUACAAGGAUUUUGAAUUUUUCAAUUUGGUUGAUGAAGAUCUUUGCUAAUAUUUGUUUCUGAGCUCUUCGGAAGGUAGAGAACACUUUUCUCUAGGUUAUAAUGCUAUAGGCGGCUCACCUCAGGUCUUGAGAAGUGUUUUGAGCCUUUUAUAGAGCCAAAAAUCCUAAAAAAUACAAUUUUUGACUUUGCAAAUUUUCGUGAGUACUGUUGAUCCCGCGAAGUACCUGUGAAUUCUGUGACAAUUUUCAAGCUCUCAGUUUCUUCUCGUGAGAUCUGUGAACUACCCGCGAAGUUCAUAAUUUUUUACUCCGAUAUCCGAUAGAACUGAUUUUUAGUGCGUUGGAAAGAAAACUUCAAGGAACACAACUUUGCCUCUAAUGAUCAUUGGCUGAAUCAAUCUCUAAGAUGGCAAAAAUUAAGCUUGAAAAUUGCAGGUGAAUCCAUAAUGUAUCAUACAAGUUUCUCUUAGCACGAGCUUGCAUGAAUAUGCUUGAAAACCUUUCUGAAUACUUGAAAAAUAUCUUCUAACACUUGUUCUUCAUUACUCAACUUCUCAAUUUACAUUAAAAAUAACUUAUCACGAAAUUUAGCCAAUCACACAACCUAACAAAAACUGCCUCAAGUGAGAUUUCAGGUAAAUGUGAUCCCCACACAUAUUAAAUGCAGUAGGACCAAUUUAUACGAAA
rnacentral:lncRNA from 1 species